rnacentral:ncRNA from 1 species
UUAUAUGCGAUGAAGAGAAGAGUAGAUCGAUCAAUUCUUUUGAAGAGAGCUCCGGGUGCUGAAAAGGAGUAAGAAUUAUUUAUUGAACCAAGUCUCGGAGCAUCACAAAGGACCCUGCUAAUAGGAGAUGGUGUGACGGGAGCUCCCGUUAUCGGGCUCAGGUAUUCGCAAAUCGUAGUUUAUUUGCCGUACCGAUUAAGAUUAAUAUGGUGACAUAUUAAUAAACUAGGGUGGUACCACGACUUUCUAAAUCUCGUCCCUAAG